AGGGAAGACGAGAGUCUCGGGACUCCCCAAACCACCGCGAACCUACCCGAGUCACAGUGCCUCGGCGGGCGGCCCCAGGGGGGGGCCGCGCGAGCCCGCCGGCGGCAAGCCCACAGACCACGGACCAGUCCGGAAAGACAACCCAAAAGGGGCCCCUCUGAGUUUUAGACCAUGCCCCCCAGGGGGGGGGACGCAGACCCAAGUCA
rnacentral:misc_RNA from 1 species